UAGGGAAUCUUCCGCAAUGGACGAAAGUCUGACGGAGCAACGCCGCGUGAGCGAAGAAGGCCUUCGGGUCGUAAAGCUCUGUUGUUAGGGAAGAACAUGUAUCGGAGUAACUGCCGGUACCUUGACGGUACCUAACCAGAAAGCCACGGCUAACUACGUGCCAGCAGCCGCGGUAAUACGUAGGUGGCAAGCGUUGUCCGGAAUUAUUGGGCGUAAAGCGCGCGCAGGCGGUCCUUUAAGUCUGAUGUGAAAGCCCACGGCUCAACCGUGGAGGGUCAUUGGAAACUGGGGGACUUGAGUGCAGAAGAGGAGAGUGGAAUUCCACGUGUAGCGGUGAAAUGCGUAGAGAUGUGGAGGAACACCAGUGGCGAAGGCGACUCUCUGGUCUGUAACUGACGCUGAGGCGCGAAAGCGUGGGGAGCAAACAGGAUUAGAUACCCUGGUAGUCCACGCCGUAAACGAUGAGUGCUAAGUGUUAGAGGGUUUCCG
rnacentral:rRNA from 1 species